GAUGAACGCUGGCGGCGUGCCUAAUACAUGCAAGUCGAGCGAACAGACGAGGAGCUUGCUCCUCUGACGUUAGCGGCGGACGGGUGAGUAACACGUGGAUAAUCUACUUAUAUGACUGGGAUAACUUCGGGAAACCGGAGCUAAUACCGGAUAAUAUAUUGAACCGCAUGGUUCAAUAGUGAAAGACGGCUUUGCUGUCUCUUAUAGAUGGAUCCGCGCCGCAUUAGCUAGUUGGUAAGGUAACGGCUUAGCAAGGCAACGAUGCGUAGCCGACGUGAGAGGGUGGUCGGCGGCACUGGAACUGAGACACGGUCCAGACUCCUGAGGGACGCAGCAGUAGGGAAUCUUCCGCAAUGGUCGAGAGCUUGACGGAGCAACGCCGCGUGAGUGAUAAAGGUCUUCGGAUCGUAAAACUCUGUUAUUAGGGGAAAACAAAUGUGUAAGUAACUGUGCACGUCUUGACGGUACCUAAUCAGGAAGCCACGGCUAACUACGUG
rnacentral:rRNA from 1 species